UACGGGGGGAGCAAGCGUUGUUCGGAUUUACUGGGCGUAAAGGGCGCGUAGGCGGCGUAACAAGUCACUUGUGAAAUCUCCGGGCUUAACCCGGAGCGGCCAAGUGAUACUGUUGUGCUAGAGUGCGGAAGGGGCUACUGGAAUUCUCGGUGUAGCGGUGAAAUGCGUAGAUAUCUGGAGGAACACCGAUGGCGAAGGCAGCCCCCUGGGAUAACACUGACGCUCAUGCACGAAAGCGUGGGGAGCAAACAGG
rnacentral:rRNA from 1 species